rnacentral:rRNA from 1 species
AUGGAAAGUGGUGGAGCCGGUGGCCCGAGCUGGUAGUAGGUGAGUGAUGGGGUGACGCAGGAAGGUAGUCCAUCCCGGGCGGUGGUUGUCCCGGGGUAAGGGUGUAGGACG